GUAUGGUUGGGAUCCCAAACCUGACCACCACCUUCAAGUCAAAAAAAAUAUGAAAGGACAGUUUUGGACAUGUAAGUCAUUUUGUUGUCCAAUUGGGUGGUAUCAUCUCCUUUUAUUUUUCCCUGUCUCCUACCCAACCCGUACUCUCUUUUUAUCUAGCUAGCUCACGAAUAAGCUACCUUUUAGCUUAUGGCUUUUGGCUCUACACACACACCCUCCUUCGUGGCUCGAGAUGGG
rnacentral:lncRNA from 1 species